UGGCACUGAUGCCACAUCCAGUCUCAGCUUAAACACCUCCAGGGAUGGAGAAUCCCCCCCUUCCCUGGGCAGCCCAUUCCAAUGGCUGAGCACCCUCUCUGCAAAGAAAUUCUUCCUAAUGUCCAACCUAACCCUCCCCUGGCACAGCUGCAGACCCAGCCCUCUUGUCUUGCUGAUGGUUGCCUGGGAAAAGAGGCCAGAGUAGACCAGUUAUGAUGAUCAAUAUGGCCAAGGCUGAGAUGUUGUUUCAGGGAGCCCUUGUAUCUCCUCUUUGGGGCUCCUCUCUUGCAGCAGCCGGUGGCAAGUUCACCAUAAAGCAAGAUCUUAGGGAGGGGGUGGUUGGUCCUUCAUCCUGGAGACGUGCCCUGCCCAACACAGCUGUGUCCUCAGCAACAUGGCCUCAAUACUUGUGACUGCUGCUUGUUCUAGAACAGAUGGAUUGGUCACAUCAUCUGCCCAGGGGAUGUUUAGGAUUGUUCGGAGGCAGCGUUGAUGGAAGCGUUCCAGGAGUCGCAGGUGGUGGUGGUAGAUGACCCAUGGUUUGGAACCAUACAAGAGAGUAGACAGCACUAUGGCUCUGUAAACACUGAUCUUGGUGCUUUUCUUCAAGUGUUUAUUUUGCCAAACUCUUUUAUGAAGCUUUCUGAAAGCUCUCUAUGCCUUUGCUAACCUGAUCUCCCCAUCAAUCUCACCAUCCGAGGAGGUGAGGCUGCCUAGGGAAUUAAACUGCUGGACUGAUUUGAGCUCUGAUUGAUCAAUGGUGAUAUGGGGAUGAUGGAACCAUCAUCCUGCAUCAACCUGAGGUGCAGGUUGAUGGAGAACCUCUGUCUUCUUCAAGCUGACUUCCAGCCCAAAGAGCUCAGCAGCGUCUGCAAAGCAGGGUGUUAAACGCUGCAGAGCUGCUUCUGUGUGGGCCACAAGGAUUCCUAAGGAAUACUCAGCUUUUAAUCCCAGAGACGAGGCUGAGCUGCUGAAAAGCGGGGUGUGAGAAGCUGGAAUCACCUUAUCCCCGAGCAGCUGGAAUCACCUUAUCCCUGAGCAGCUGGAAUCACCUUAUCCCCGAGCAGCUGGAAUCACCUGAUCACUGAACAGUUGGAAUCACCUUAUCCCUGAGCAGCUGGAAUCACCUUAUCCCCGAGCAGCUGGAAUCACCUGAUCACUGAGCAGCUGGAAUCACCUGAUCACUGAGCAGCUGGAAUCACCUUAUCCCCGAGCAGCUGGAAUCACCUUAUCCCCGAACAGUUGGAAUCACCUGAUCACUGAGCAGCUGGAAUCACCUUAUCCCCGAGCAGCUGGAAUCAUCACUGAGCAGCUGGAAUCACCUGAUCACUGAACAGUUGGAAUCACCUUAUCCCUGAGCAGCUGGAAUCACCUUAUCCCCGAGCAGCUGGAAUCACCUGAUCACUGAGCAGCUGGAAUCACCUUAUCCCUGAGCAGCUGGAAUCACCUUAUCCCCGAGCAGCUGGAAUCACCUUAUCCCUGAGCAGCUGGAAUCACCUUAUCCCUGAGGAACUGGAAUCACCUUAUCCCCGACCGCUGACUCAGGCGAGGGGGGGAUGAGGAGGGAGAGGAUUUUUUUCCCCUGCAGUUGCUGAGCUUGUAACCUGUUCCCUGGAACCGUAAAGCACCGGGGGAACAUCCCGCCCUCAUCCAGCUCCGUUUAUCUCCGCGUGGGGAGCACGUGAGGGAUUCUCGGGAACGGCCUCGGGGGGAGCUUUUCCCCGGAGUUCACAGUCCAUCGGAGCGCUGAUAAGUGUUCAAAGGUGACGGCCCGAAACCUGCGGGGAGAGGAGGGGGGGGAACAGGCUCUCUUUGUGAGGCUCCUGCUGCUCCCGGGAUUCCUGGGCUCCCAGCCUUCAAUGGAACCUUUCAUUCCCAAAACGCUCCAGGAAGCUCCUCAACCUUUGUCCUGACGGAGCCGCGUCCCUGCCCCGGCCAAAAUCUGGCCACAAGUGGCGGGGACUUCAAGCCCUGGGGAUUUUUGGGUGGUUGGGUUGGACCCGGGGUUGGCAGCGUGACCUUGCCGGAGAUUUCAACCUAAAAAAGAGGUUGGAGAGAGAGAGAUGGGAAGUAGAUCCAUGAAAAGCACUGGGAAAUGGUGAUUGAGUCCUUUUCCUAACAGGGACUGGGAGCACAGCAUCGGGAAUGUGGAGGGAUAGAGAUGGGAAGUAGAUCCAUGAAAACCACUGGGAAAUGGUUAUUUGGUGCUUUUUUCUAAUAGGGAUUGGGAGCACAGCACUGGGAAUGUGGAGGGAGGGAGAUGGGAAGUAAAUCCAUGAAAAGCCCUGGGAAAUGGUGAUUGGGUCCUUUUCCUUACAGGAACUGGGACCACAGCACUGGAAAUUUGGAGGGAGAGAGAUGGGAAUCAGAUCCAUGAAAAUCACUGGGAAAUGGUGAUUUGGUCCUUUUUUCUAAUAGGGAUUGGGAGCACAGCACUGGGAAUGUGGAGGGAGAGAGAUGGAUGGGAAUUAGAUCCAUGAAAAGCACCAGGAAAUGGUGAUUUGGUCCAUUGCCUAAUAGGGAUCAGGAGCACAGCAUUGGGAAUGUGGAGGGAGGGAGAUGGGAAGUAGAUCCAUGAAAAGCCCUGGGAAAUGGUGAUUGGGUCCUUUUCCUUACAGGAACUGGGAGCACAACACUGGAAAUUUGAAGGGAGAGAGAUGGGAAUUAGAUCCAUGAAAACCACUGGGAAACAGUGAUUGGGUCCUUUUCCUAACAGGGAUUGGGAGCACAGCAGUGGAAAUUUGGAGGGAGAGAGAUGAGAAGUAGAUCCAUGAAAAGCACUGGGAAAUGGUGAUUGGGUCCUUUUCCUAAUAGGGAUCAGGAUCACAGCACCAGGAAUUUGGAAGGAGAGAGAUGGGAAGUAGAUCCAUGAAAAUCAUUGGGAAAUGGUGAUUUGGUGCUUUUCCAAAUAGAGACUGGGAGCACAAGACUGGGAAUGUGGAGGGAGAGAGAUGGGAAGUAGAUCCAUGAGAACCACUGAGAAAUGGUGGCAAUUUUGGGGUAAAAGAAAAGAAAAAAAGAACAAAAAAUGAUUUUCCAGGAAGACAAGUGGAAAACUCCCCCUCCAUCUCCGACCAAAUUCAUUCCCAUCACAAGCCUGGCCAUGCUCCUGGUCCUCCUGUCCAUCUGCACAUGGACCUUCCCUCUGCCUUGGCCCCUGGGUGACACCUCCCUGGCUGCUCACCUGGAAAUUCCGGGCUCAGAGGGGUUGGAUUUCCUGGGAAUAUUAAAAGCUGUGGGCUCAGGACUCGUCCCUUCCUUCCUUCUCCCUGGGUUUGGGCAGAAUUUGUCUGAACCCCAACCAGGACAGGUAAUCCCAGCAUUAAGUCUUUCCAGGACUCCUGGGAUUCCUGGAGCCUCUUUGUGUUGCUCCCCAAUCCCGAAGCAUCUCCCUGGUUAUCCCAGCCUUGAUUCCUCCUCUGGAGGUGGGAGAAAAGCCCCUGAUUGAGAGCAAGGCUUUUUGCCUCUGGACUGGGAGGUUGGAGUGGCUGAAAAUCUGCUCCUCCUCAGGGCUGCUAAAAAAGGGACAUGUUGGUGUUCAACUCAUGUAGCUUUUGUUUCCAGCUCUCGGUUGUUUUCCUCAGGCCUUUCUUUCCUGAACAAAGCAAAGGCUUGGCUGGCCAUUCAGUCCUUUAUCAGAGGGGAUGGCUCGAAAAAUGACAUUUCUGAUGGAAAAUUCCAGCCUCCAUCAGGUGAAAAAAAACCCCAACCCUUUAUUUUCGGUGUCAAUCAGUGCAGGCACAAUGAAGGACCCAAUUAUUCGAAGCAAUCCAUGAUUAGGGGCUAUUUUUUCCCUGCUGUCCUGUAACAUAAACUCUGAAAGAAAUCAUCACAGGGAUACAAUAAUAAAAUAACCCCCCCCCCAGCACUUGCAGACUGGAAGGAACAGGGUAAAAUUCAAGCUGCCCUGACAGAAGUGGAGAUAAAUCCCUUCCUAUUGGGAUAUUUUAGCAUUUCAGGUCACUGUUUCAUUGGAAAUGGAAAUAAGGGACUCAAACAUGGAAGGAGAGUCACCGGCUGCUGGGGAGGGAUUUAAAGCACCAUUUACACCCUGAAAUCAGGGGAACUUUGGCUUUUCUUCCCUUUGUCUGGGUGGGGUGGUUUGGGUUUGUCCUGUUUUGGUUUGUUGUGCUGCUGUCGCUGUCCCAGGGAUCCAUAAGGUCUCGUUUUCCCUUGGAUGUGGGAAUGAGGACGGAGCUGGGAUUGGGAGUUGUGGUGCCAGGGCAGCAACCUGGGAGAGUGGGAGCUGUCCCUGCCCAGGGCAGGAAUUUGGAAUGAGAUGAUCUUUAAGGUCCCUUCUAAUCCCUUCUGGGAUUCUGGGAUUCACGGGAGCCAGGUGGAGUGUGUUGAGCACGUGACCAGAAUUUGGUCCUCACAACUUUUAUAAUUCCCUGGAAAAAUGGGUUCUGGUCUCCAGGGAACUAAACCAGGGGUGUUAUUAAUAGUCACAGUAUGAACAUUGAUAUCCUUAUUUUCAUUUUGAGUCUCUCUCAGGCUUUUCCUUGAGCUCAGCACACUCAAAAGUCUCUAUCCAGCUGUGGGAAGGGACUGGGACUCCCCAGGAACUCUUUAUUCCUUUAAUGUGGGAAGAAAUGAGCUUUAUGGUAUGCAAAAACCUGCUGGGGAUCUGGGGGGUUCACCUGGAGAAGGGAAGGCUCUGGAGAGACCUGAGAGCCCCUUGCAGGGCCUGAAGGGGCUCCAGGAGAGCUGGAGAGGGACUGGGGCCAAGGGAUGGAGGGACAGGACACAGGGAAUGGCUUCCCACUGGAAAAGUGGAGAUUUAGAUGGGAUAUUGGGAACUAAUUUAUGCAGCAUUUCCUGCUGUUCUCAGAUCCUUGUUUUUAAAUUUCCUGCUACCUUAAAAACUUGCAUUGAAAAGAAAUCUCAUAGUAAAAAGAACUUGUGUUAAGAAUUAAAUUGGGUCUCAGUGCAAUUCCUGAACAUCCUUGUAGGAUGAAAAUAUUUCGAUAAGAAAACCCUGGAAUUUUUCCUUCCCUUCAGCAAAAAUAGAGAUGUUAUUAAAUAUUUACAAACAGUUUGGAUAUUUCCUUUAUAUAUAUAUAUAUAUAUAUAUAUUUAUAUUUAUAUAUAUAUAUUCCCUUUUUUUUCCACACCUGAUGGCUGUAAAUUUGGAUUUUCCUUAAAUUUGUUUCCUUCAGGUGGAAGUUGGAGAGAUCCUGGUGCCCCUUCAGCUCAUUCCACACUUCCCGAGGGCCAUCCAGAAAAUCCACCAGGAUACUGGAGAGUUCCACCCCAUAACAAUUUUUUUGUUGCCUCAAGAAAAAGGUGGAAUUUGUAUUCCAACAAUGUCCCUCAGCCAAGGAAAAGAACAAAGGAGCGGAAUGAGGGGGGAAAAGAAAGAGGAGAAAGAAAGAAAAGAAACCCCUUUGGAACAUUCCCUUUUUGCCAGGAUUUGAGGCAUUUUCAGUGUAGGGACACAGGAUCAAAAUUCCUGGUGAGGACUGGGGGAGAUUUAUUCUUUCUCUCUCCUCUUAUCUCCAGUUUUCUCCAUCUGAUCCCAGUUGAGGGACAGUUUUCCAGCUUCUCAGCUGGUGGAAAUUUAUCCUUUCCUGCCCAAGGGGAAACCAGGAAUGUCAGUUUAGGGUGUUCUGGCUAAAAAAUGCAAUAAAGAUGUUUGGGGGUGGCUGAGGUUGUUCUGAGGCCGGGGGUGAUCAGGUCAUGGAAUCAUGGAAUGGGUUGGGUUGGAAGAGACCUUGAAGAUCAUCCAAUCCCACCCUCUGCCACGGGCAGGGACACCUUCCACUAGCCCAGGUUGCUCCAAACCCUGUCCAACCUGGCCUUGGACACUUCCAGGAAUGGAGCCUUAAAGAUCAUCCAGUUCCAAUCCUUAUCCUAAAUAAAUCCCUCCUCUCUGGGAGUGGAAUUAAUUUUCCUCAGUGAAGACACUUGGUGUUUGCUGAGGUAUCUUGUGCUAUCCAACAUAUCCAUGGGAGCCUGGCAGAGGGGACACUGGAUUUAAGGAGACCCUUUGGAGUGGCAGCUGGAGGCCAGGCAGUGCAAUCCCAGAAUCCCAGAAUCCCUGGGGUUGGGCCUGAGCAAAGCCCAGGGAAAUCAAGGGGAAAAUCUCCUCCCUUGGACAUCUCUGAGCUCGGGAUUCAGACCUGCUGGGGGAUGGGGGGGCUGAGAGGGUCUGUCAGGGGCUGCAGACACACAUGGGCAGGUCAUGACUGAUGGAAUCAUGGAAUCAUGGAAUCAUGGAAUCACUGGGGUCGGAAAAGCCCUCCAAGGUCCCCGAGUCCCCCCUGUGCCCGAUGCCCACCUUGUCCCCCAGCCCAGAGCACUGAGUGCCACAUCCAGGCCUUCCUGGGACACCUCCAGGGCUGGGCACUCCAAACCUCCCUGGGCAGCCCCUGCCAAGGCCUGACCACCCUUUCCAGGGAGAAAUUCCUGCUGAUGUCCCACCUGCCCCUCCCCUGGCACAGCCUGAGGCCGUUCCCUCUCCUCCUGUCCCUUGUGCCCUGGGAGCAGAGGUUGACCCCACCUUGCUCCAACCUCCUGUCAGGUAGAACCCAAACCUGUUUCUCUGAUUUUCCCCAAACCCUCACUUGAAAUAUGGAACUAAAUCCACGGAAGAGCUUGUUCUUUUUCCCAGGAGACCUUAACAAUGGUGAGAAUACAGGAGAAAACCCAGAGCAGAACUCAGAGCUAUUUCUGACCCAAGGGGUCCUGCAAGGGUGUUUGGUCAUCAUGGAAUCAUGGAAUUGAAUUCCUGAGGUUGGAAAAGCCCUCCCAGCCCAUGGAUCCCCCCUGUUCCCCAUCCCCACCGUGUCCCCCAGCCCAGAGCACUGAGUGCCACGGCCAGGCCUUCCUGGGACACCUCCAGGGCUGGGCACUCCAAACCUGCCUGGGCAGCCCCUGCCAGUGUCUGACCACCUUUCCAUGGAGAAAUUGCUCCUGGUGUCCCACCUGAGCCUCCCCUGGCACAGCCUGAGGCUGUUCCCUCUCCUCCUGUCCCUUGUUCCCUGGGAUCAGAGCCCGACCCCCCCCCUUGCUGCCACCUCCCUUCGGGCAGCUGGAAAGAGCAAAAAGCUCUUCCCUGAGCUUCUUUUUCUGCAGGUUAAACAUUCCCUGCUCCUCAUGGGGCUUAACUCCAAACCACUGAAUCCCUCUGGUGCUGGAAUGCUGGUCCUUCAGUGGGAUGGCAGCAGUUUGUAGGAGAACAGCCCGGAUGGUCCGAGGCAGGGAAGCAGCCGGAGCUGUGUCCCAUUAUUACAGAAACGAAGGCACAGACAAAUUUUUGGAUCCCACUGGCAGCUCUGUCCCAUUGUCUGAGCUCAGGCCACUCGGAGCAACAGAGGGAGAAAGGCAAGAAAUGCUCUGCCUCAUUAGAGGAGGUCCCUGCCAAAAAACUUCGGGAUCACGGUGGAAAGGGAGGCUCCGAGUGACAUUUCCCACACGGCAUCAGCGGCGCUGCACGGGCAACACCAACCGAGAGGGGGAGGUUUCAUCGGGCCCCGUGGGUGCCAGGCUGGGUGUCCAGAUGAAAAGUUGACCUUUCUAAACCGAAAUGUUUCCCUCCAGGAGAGUGGAAAUGUUUUUGACUCCGUUCCAGUCCGAGAGCAAAACAAAUGGCAAAGCACCAAGAGGCUCCUUGUGCAAGAGCAGCGUCCCUGCCCCGCGUGCUGCUGCAUUUAUUGCUUUGUUUGUUCAGCACAGCUGAGCUUUUGCAGUGGAAAGUUUGCCAUGGGGAGGGUUUUGGGGUGGGUUUGAAGGCUGGGAUAAGGCUGGGCAUGGCUGGGAUUUCUUCUCUUCCCUCCGAGGGAGAUAAAUGGAUCCGUGUCCAGAUUCCGUCGUUGGAUUCCAGACUCGCCCCUUGAAGGUGCUUUUUAGGCUCUUUCAGGUGCUCAUCUUUGGGUAGGAAUGAAAGUCAGUGUUGUCCUCUUUCUCCAAAGACUCUAGAGGGAGCCUAAAGGAUUGAUUUGAGCUGGACAACUCCGGGGCUGAACUGAGGGAAAACGAAUCCCAUUUUCCCUGCCCAGCCCCUGCUGCUGCUCAGACUCCAGUCGAAGACACUACACCAAGUCCCAGAGUUUCUAGGAAGGUAAUAAAGGAAGGAAUUUAUGAUUUCAGAGGAUUGUAAACAUCCAGACCCUUAAUCCCAGCAGAUAGCCUUGACAAAACCAGAAGGGCUGCGUGGACAGAAGAGCCUUGACACAGAAAGUUGUUCCAGCACUUCUGUGAGGUGUCAGCAAGUUUUAACUGAGCUUGGCCUGGAGAUGUUCAACUGGUUGGAACUAAUCCAUGUCCAGAAGAGGUGAAUCAGUGUCUAGCAAUUCACUAACCAGUUGCUCAAGUGCUGGUUGCUAAAAAAUCUGCAUUUCGUUGCCUGGGUGGGUAAAGUCCAGUUUAACACACCAAGGAAUCCAAGGAAUCAGCCCCCAAACUCUUGAGAGCUGCUGAGCACAGGAAGGGGGGCUCUCAAGCAGAACAUCCCAGGCUGGACCAUAAACCUUCCUGGUGUGAGGGAGGGUUUUAGUUCUGGAGCCCCUGGAUGGGCCGUGGUUCCUCCAUAUCCAACAGGACACCUCCUGGAGCCACCUGAGAGGAACAUCCCUGGUCACAUCCCAGAAGUGACUCACCAUUCCCAGAGGAAAUGCAGUGGCAGGGGUGAUUUUCUGAGGCCCCCAGAUGUUCUGUCCAGCUCCAAACCAAGGUCAAUCUUCCUUAAUUCUGACUGGGAAACUGGACCAAGAAUGAAAUCACACCUGCAUCUCUCUCCCACCCUGGAAGUGGUGCCUCCCACCCACUGGACCUGCUCCAGCAGGAUAAUAAAACCCUGGAUGGCAUCAGGAAGGGGACCAGGGUGCUUUUCCUCCUGGUCUUUUGCUCUGCCAGCACUUCUGAAAUCAAGUGGAAGUGCUGGGGAGCAGCUUCUGAAGAAGCCAAAGUUCAUUUUUCAUCUCAAGCACAGCCAAGUUAUUAAACUUUUUUUGUUGCAGACA